CCUACGGGAGGCAGCAGUGAGGAAUUUUCCGCAAUGGGCGAAAGCCUGACGGAGCAAUGCCGCGUGGAGGAAGAAGGCCCGUGGGUUGUAAACUCCUUUUCUCAGAGAAACGGUAUCUGAGGAAUAAGCUCCGGCUAACUCUGUGCCAGCAGCCGCGGUAAUACAGAGGGAGCAAGCGUUAUCCGGAAUGAUUGGGCGUAAAGCGUCUGUAGGUGGUUCAUUAAGUCUACUGUCAAAUACCAGGGCUUAACCUUGGGCAGGCAGUGGAAACUAAUGAGCUAGAGUAUGGUAGAGGCAGAGGGAAUUCCAUGUGGAGCGGUGAAAUGCGUAGAGAUAUGGAAGAACACCAGUGGCGAAGGCGCUCUGCUGGGCAAACUGACACUGAGAGACGAAAGCCAGGGGAGCAAAUAGGAUUAGAUACCCGUGUAGUC
rnacentral:rRNA from 1 species